rnacentral:pre_miRNA from 1 species
UCUUAUGGAUGAGCAAAGAAAGUGGUUUCUUGAAAUGUCAUCAACUACUGGUGAAGAUACUGUGAA